GGCCGCGGGAUUGUGCCAGCCGCCGCGGUAAUACGUAGGUGGCAAGCGUUGUCCGGAAUUAUUGGGCGUAAAGCGCGCGCAGGCGGUUCCUUAAGUCUGAUGUGAAAGCCCCCGGCUCAACCGGGGAGGGUCAUUGGAAACUGGGGAACUUGAGUGCAGAAGAGAAGAGUGGAAUUCCACGUGUAGCGGUGAAAUGCGUAGAGAUGUGGAGGAACACCAGUGGCGAAGGCGACUCUUUGGUCUGUAACUGACGCUGAGGCGCGAAAGCGUGGGGAGCAAACAGGAUUAGAUACCCUGGUAGUCCACGCCGUAAACGAUGAGUGCUAAGUGUUAGAGGGUUUCCGCCCUUUAGUGCUGCAGCAAACGCAUUAAGCACUCCGCCUGGGGAGUACGGCCGCAAGGCUGAAACUCAAAGGAAUUGACGG
rnacentral:rRNA from 1 species